ensembl:lncRNA novel transcript
CUCCUGGCUCAGAAGCUCCUCCACUGAGCACCUUGUGACCCCCGCCCCUGCCCACCAGAGAACAACCCCCUUUGACUGUAAUUUUCCAUUACCUUCCCAAAUCCUAUAAAACAGCCCCACCCCUAUCUCCCUUCACUGACUCUCUUUUCGGACUCAGUCCGCCUACACCCAGGUGAAAUAAACAGCCAUGUUGCUCACACAAAGCCUGUUUGGUGGUCUCUUCACACGGAUGCACAUGAAAUUUGGUGCCGUGACUUGGAUCGGGGGACCUCCCUUGGGAGAUCAAUCCCCCAUCCUCCUGCUCUUUGCUCCAUGAGAAAGAUCCACCUAUGACCUCAGGUCCUCAGACCGACCAGCCCAAGGAACAUCUCACCAAUUUCAAAUCCGGACCCCACUGGAAAUCAGACUGUUCGACUCACCUGGCAGCCACUCCCAGAGCCCCUGGAACUCUGGCCCAAGGCUCUCUGACUGACUCCUCGGCUUAGCAGCUGAAGACUGAUGCUGCCUGAUCACCUCAAAAGCCCUGUAGACCACCACAGACGCCGAGCUUCGAGUAACUCUCACAGUGGAAGUGCUGUGCUGCCUUCUGAAUUCUCCUACAAAAAGCAGUGGCCAGGUCGUAUGGUCCUUACAUUCCAGGAAAUUGUAAAGCUCUUCAAACUCUUCAAAUUAUAAAACUCUUCUCUUGAAGACAACCCCUUUUCUUGGCAAAGAGGACCUAACUGAAUGUGUUGAGAUACCCAUGAAUCUGCUCCUCUGAUCACAGUUCUGAUGACAUGCAAAAACUACCUUGGAUCAAGAGAAGCAUCUCCAUGAGGGCCUAAUGCCUAUAAGAAAAUAUCAGAGCGGGGACAUUCUGAAGGUUUGUAUCUGACCUAUCUUUGGUUUUAAUCACUGAAGUUCUCGACGUUUUAAUAAGUUGAAGGUGCUGGGUCACAGUCUAACUUAAUAAGGCCCGCCACAGAGAGUUGGUCACCUCUGAUUGCUCCCAUAAGUCUUAGCACAUCUGGUACACUGUCCUUGGUUGAGAAAUGUUUUCCAUAACUUUUCUCUUGUUCACUACCCUGCAUAUAAAUUGUUUUUAUUAACCUGAGAAUGAUACAGCACUGUAUAUUUGUGUGAGCUUUUGCCAUUUUCAGCUUUAUCCUAUGGAAAGAGAGUUGAUUGUUUCCUCCAAAAUGGAAUUAAACACUGUUUAUCACCAA